rnacentral:rRNA from 1 species
ACGCUGGCGGCGUGCUUAACACAUGCAAGUGGAGCGACGAACCGGGCUUGCCCCGGGGCAGAGCCGCGAACGGGUGAGUAACACGUGGGUAACCUGCCUCAAUGAUUGGGACAACCCGGGGUAACUCGGGCUAAUACCAAAUGUGUUCACUCCUUUUAAGGGGAGUGAGGAAAGGAAGCUUCGGCCUCCGCAUUGAGAUGGGCCCGCGGCCCAUUAGCUUGUUGGUGAGGUAACGGCUCACCAAGGCUUCGAUGGGUAGCUGGUCUGAGAGGACGAUCAGCCACACUGGGACUGAGACACGGCCCAGACUCCUACGGGAGGCAGCAGUGGGGAAUCUUGCACAAUGCGCGAAAGCGUGAUGCAGCAACGCCGCGUGGGGAAGACGGCCUUCGGGUUGUAAACCCCUUUCAGUUGGGACGAAGCUUCGCCGGUGAAUAGCCGGUUGGAGUGACGGUACCUUCAGAAGAAGCCCCGGCUAACUACGUG